GGAUGUGAGGGCGACCUGGCUGCGACUUGUGUCACCCCGUUGAUCGCCAGGGCCGACGGCUGGCUGAGCGGUGUCCCCAUCCUCCCUCAAGGCUCCACGUGGUCCCUCCCGCAUCCACGAGCAGCCCGAGAGGGCGAUCACCGCCCGCAGAGGAGGGCCGUUCCUCGGCCCAGGGCACAGCAGCAGCUGCCUCCUGUGCUAGAACCUCCCAAGCUCUAGGAAAAGAAAGCGUGCUAACGCUGUUU
rnacentral:snRNA from 1 species